AUUCGAAUAGCUUAUAUUUAGAGUAUAGCACUGAAGAUGCUGUGGAGAUUAUCACAAUCUUUGGAUA
rnacentral:tRNA from 1 species